CAGCCGCCGCGGGAAUACGUAGGUGGCAAGCGUUGUCCGGAAUUAUUGGGCGUAAAGGGCUCGCAAGCGGUUUCUUAAGUCUGAUGUGAAAGCCCCCGGCUCAACCGGGGAGGGUCAUUGGAAACUGGGAAACUUGAGUGCAGAAGAGGAGAGUGGAAUUCCACGUGUAGCGGUGAAAUGCGUAGAGAUGUGGAGGAACACCAGUGGCGAAGGCGACUCUCUGGUCUGUAACUAACGCUGAGGAGCGAAAGCGUGGGGAGCGAACAGGAUUAGAUACCCGCGUAGUCCCUGUCUCUUAUAA
rnacentral:rRNA from 1 species